rnacentral:misc_RNA from 1 species
GUGAAUCAUCGAAUCUUUGAACGCAAUUGCACUCCCUGGUAUUCCGGGGAGUAUGCCUGUUUGAGGGUCGUUAGAAGAAAAAUCGGAGCAUUGCUCUUUUUUUGAGGGUGAUCGCGUCGGAGUUGAGCCGUCUUUCAAAUGUUAAUUCAUGUCAAAGUGGCUUAAAAUUCAUCCAUCCGGUACGAUUAAAGCGUAUUUAAGAUCAAGUUUGACUAAGAACGCGCGAUGACGUACCAUCUCAUGUAGUACGUUUGACCUGGGACAUCAGGUUCAUUCGUAUACGAUACUCAAACUUAU